GAUGAACGCUGGCGGCGUGCCUAAUACAUGCAAGUCGAGCGAACAGACGAGGAGCUUGCUCCUCUGACGUUAGCGGCGGACGGGUGAGUAACACGUGGAUAACCUACCUAUAAGACUGGGAUAACUUCGGGAAACCGGAGCUAAUACCGGAUAAUAUAUUGAACCGCAUGGUUCAAUAGUGAAAGACGGUUUUGCUGUCACUUAUAGAUGGAUCCGCGCCGCCUUAGCUAGUUGUUAAGGUAACGGCUUACCAAGGCAACGAUGCGUAGCCGACCUGAGAGGGUGAUCGGCCACACUGGAACUGAGACACGGUCCAGACUCCUACGGGAGGCAGCAGUAGGGAAUCUUCCGCAAUGGGCGAAAGCCUGACGGAGCAACGCCGCGUGAGUGAUGAAGGUCUUCGGAUCGUAAAACUCUGUUAUUAGGGAAGAACAAAUGUGUAAGUAACUAUGCACGUCUUGACGGUACCUAAUCAGAAAGCCACGGCUAACUACGUG
rnacentral:rRNA from 1 species